rnacentral:rRNA from 1 species
AGAGUUUGAUCCUGGCUCAGGACUAACGCUGGCGGCGUGCCUAACACAUGCAAGUCGAACGAGAGUAGCAAUAUUCUAGUGGCAGACGGGUGAGUAACACGUGGUCAACCUUCCUUUAAGUGGGGGAUAACCAGUCGAAAGAUUGGCUAAUACCGCAUGCGGAAGUGGUCGGCAUCGACCACCAUCCAAAGGAGCAAUCC